GAUGAACGCUGACAGAAUGCUUAACACAUGCAAGUCGACUUGAAUUUGGGUUUUUAACUUAGGUUUGGGUGGCGGACGGGUGAGUAACGCGUAAAGAACUUGCCUCACAGCUAGGGACAACAUUUGGAAACGAAUGCUAAUACCUAAUAUUAUGAUAAUAGGGCAUCCUAUAAUUAUGAAAGCUAUAAGCGCUGUGAGAGAGCUUUGCGUCCCAUUAGCUAGUUGGAGAGGUAACGGCUCACCAAGGCGAUGAUGGGUAGCCGGCCUGAGAGGGUGAUCGGCCACAAGGGGACUGAGACACGGCCCUUACUCAUACGGGAGGCAGCAGUGGGGAAUAUUGGACAAUGGACCGAGAGUCUGAUCCAGCAAUUCUGUGUGCACGAUGAAGUUUUUCGGAAUGUAAAGUGCUUUCAGUUGGGAAGAAACAAAUGACGGUACCAACAGAAGAAGUGACGGCUAAAUACGUG
rnacentral:rRNA from 1 species